rnacentral:rRNA from 1 species
GAGUGAAGUGGGAAAAGCUCAACUUUGUAAUCUGGCAGCUUCGCUGUCCGAGUUGUAGUCUCGAGAAGUGUUUUCCGCGCUGGAUCGUGUAUGAGUCUGUUGGAAUACAGCGUCAUAGAGGGUGAGAACCCCGUUCGUGACACGACUACCAGUGCUUUGUGAUACAUUUUCGAUGAGUCGAGUUGUUUGGGAAUGCAGCUCAAAUUGGGUGGUAAAUUCCAUCUAAAGCUAAAUAUUGGCGAGAGACCGAUAGCAAACAAGUACCGUGAGGGAAAGAUGAAAAGCACUUUGGAAAGAGAGUUAACAGUACGUGAAAUUGUUGAAAGGGAAACGUUUGAAGUCAGACGUGCGUUGUGCGAUUCAGCUCCGGUUCGCCGGAGUGUAUUUCGUACUAUUGCAGGCCAGCAUCGGUUUGGCGAGCCGGAUAAAGGUUAGAGAAAGGUAGCGGUCCAGGCCGUGUUAUAGUCUUUAACUGAAUACGGAUUGCUAGACCGAGGGACGCAGCGCGCCGCAAGGCAAAGCUUUCGGGCUUUUCGCGCUUAGGAUGCUGGUGAAAUGGCUUUAAAUGACCCGUCUUGAAACACGGACCAAGGAGUCUAACAUGCUUGCGAGUGUUUGGGUGUCAAACCCAUACGCGUAAUGAAAGUGAAUGGAGGUGGGAUCCUUUACCGGAGCACCAUCGACCGAUCCGGAUUUUUAAUGAUGGAUUUGAGUAAGAGCACGUAUGUUGGGACCCGAAAGAUGGUGAACUAUGCCUGAAUAGGGUGAAGCCAGAGGAAACUCUGGUGGAGGCUCGUAGCGGUUCUGACGUGCAAAUCGAUCGUCAAAUUUGGGUAUAGGGGCGAAAGACUAAUCGAACUAUCUAGUAGCUCGCUGCUGCGAGUCUCCC